CUACAAAUCCCACCAGACACCGCGCGCCCACAACAAGCCGGUCUACUCUCCACCGCCGCCGGGCCUCCUGGGACCUGUAGUCUCCACUCCCCUCCGCGCUGGUGGCCAGGAUGCGCACAGCCGCCGACUCCCAGUCCCUGGACCCUCAAGACACGGCCCACUUCUCGAGUGGAAGGUGUCGAGGCGGAAACCGCCCAAGCCGCCGAUAAGAAGGCGGAGAUCAGCGGACGUGGCGCCACCGAAUUCGGACGAGCGAGGGAGCGUUCGGCGGCGAAACUUCCCCUUCCGGCGGCCGCGGAAGACGUUGACCAGAAGUCCCGACGCUUAAAGGGCAAGCACCGAUUUUACGACUGAGUCGCAGUUCGGCGAUAGGGGGCGGGGCGGUAUGGGGCGGGACCAAGCGGAACGGAGGCACGAAUGGUGGGAAACCGUGGUUGCCAGGGGCAACGGCAAAUACUCCAGCCAAUGGCUAGGCUGAACGCGUGCUACCUAGUUCAAGCCGGAGUUGUAAUCCUGGUGGGUUCUCUUGGACAGUGUUUAAGAAGGAAGGAGGAAAACGAA